GAUGAACGCUAGCGGCAGGCUUAACACAUGCAAGUCGAGGGGCAGCAUGAUGAAACUUUCGGGUUUCAUUGAUGGCGACCGGCGCAAGGGUGCGUAACGCGUGAGCAACUUGCCCUUAUCAGGGGGAUAACCGGUGGAAACGCCGACUAAUACCCCAUAGCAUCACUUGAAGGCAUCUUUUAGUGAUUAAAGAAUUUCGGAUAAGGAUAGGCUCGCGUGACAUUAGCUAGAUGGCGGGGUAACGGCCCACCUAGUCUACGAUGUCUAGGGGUUCUGAGAGGAAGGUCCCCCACACUGGAACUGAGACACGGUCCAGACUCCUACGGGAGGCAGCAGUGAGGAAUAUUGGUCAAUGGUCGGAAGACUGAACCAGCCAAGUAGCGUGAAGGAUGAAGGUUCUAUGGAUUGUAAACUUCUUUUGUUUGGGUAAUAAAUGAUACUACGUGUAGUAUUUUGCAUGUACCUUACGAAUAAGCAUCGGCUAA
rnacentral:rRNA from 1 species